rnacentral:lncRNA from 1 species
UUUAGGAACUGCUGGAAGGCUCUAGGGGAAUAAAGAUGGAAUGACUUCUAAUUUUUAGGUCCGUAUGAUCUGAAAUACUUGCACACAAACCUCGAGAAAGCAUUCCUGGAAAUCUCGGCCCAAAAAAGGACGUUUAGUAAUUCUAAAAGGGACUACAAGAUGAAAAACAAUAGUUUUGCCAGUUAAAGUUUGAGAUUCGAUGGUGCCGUAGAUCCGUUUGGUCAUCAGGUGUUACGAGCCACACCCAUGUCUAGCUAGAAUAGUGUGUCAGGCUCAGGCUAGAGAAGAAACAGGGUACAAACUGAUGAAAGAAUUAUCAUACCGAGGGAAUUCACUCAGAACUAACAAGAAUGAUAACGUGCUCCGACUGGAGCGGUUUAGGAACUGCUGGAAACCUCUAGGGGAAUAAAGAUGGAAUGACUUCUAAUUUUUAGGUCCGUAUGGUUUGAAAUACUUGCACACAAACCGCCCGAAAGCAUUCCUAGAAAUCUCGGCCCAAAAAAUGACGUUUAGUAAUUCUAAAUGGGAAUACAAGAUGAAAAACAAUAGUUUUGGCAGUUAAAGUUUGAGAUUCGAUGGUGUCGUAGAUCCAUUUGGUCAUCAGGUGUUACGAGCCACACCCAUGUCUAGCUAGAAUAGUGUGUCAGGCUCAGGCUAGAGAAGAAACGGGGAACAAACUGAUGAAAGAAUUAUCAUAACGAGGGAAUUCACUCAGAACUAACAAGAAUGAUAACGUGCUCCGACUGGAGCGGUUUAGGAACUU